UCUCUGUGAUGAUUAAAAUGAUGACGAGUCUGAUCUCUAUUUAUCCAUUCCGUUCACCCAUGACGACAAUGAGGCAUUUGUCUGAGAGAA